rnacentral:rRNA from 1 species
CUAGCUGAGAGAGGUGCAUGGCCGUCGUCAGUUCGUACUGUGAAGCAUCCUGUUAAGUCAGGCAACGAGCGAGACCCACGCCAACAGUUGCCAGCUCGUCCUCCGGGAUGUGGGGACACUGUUGGGACCGCCUCUGCUAAAGAGGAGGAAGGGAAUGGGCAACGGUAGGUCAGCAUGCCCCGAAUUAUCUGGGCUACACGCGGGCUACAAUGGGUGGGACAAUGGGUAUCGACACCGAAAGGUGAAGGCAAUCUCCUAAACCCAUCCGUAGUUCGGAUUGUGGGCUGCAACUCGCCCACAUGAAGCUGGAAUCUGUAGUAAUCGUGUCUCAAAUGGCACGGUGAAUAUGUCCCUGCUCCUU